CACACACACAGGCCAAUAGUUGUCUCUGGAAGUGGGAGAUGAGUGUGUGUCUCUCGUUGCACUUCAGCUCACUGUGAUCCCUGGUAGUCCUCUGUCUUUCUUCUUUCUUCUCUCCUUCUCCUAAUACGGACUACAUCUCCCGCUCCCCACGGAGCUCUCUACGCCUCCAGCCCCAGAAGGACAGCAGCACCCCUCCCCGACCCCCCUACGCUCCGCCUCAUCUCACUCCUCUCCAACUCCCUUCUCCCCCACGGCCCUCAGAGUCUUCAACCCCAGCCCCCUGUUGGAGCCAAAGUCAGGUGCAAAAACCUCACGUCCCGAAUUGGCAUUCAAGCAUUGGAACGGCUCUCUGGUGGGCUGUGUGCCCCCGCCGCCGACUCUGGUCCUUGCCCAGCUCCAGCAGAAGGUCACCCAGAACACAGUGUUGGUUGGAGCCAGGCAUUCCAACAUCUCCGCUACACCACGCUGUUUGCCAUGAUGAGAGGAAUACGCUCUGCCCACUGGCUAGGGCGGUGGUGGGAUAGGUGGAAGUCAGAUGUGUGUGUGUGUGUGUGUGUGUGUGUGUGUGUGUGUGUGUGUGUGUGUGUGUGUGUGUGUGUGUGUGUGUGUGUGUGUGUGUGUGUGAGGAAAAGCCAAUACAAAUCAUAACAAACAAACUGAAAACAAGUUUCUUCAUUGCUCUCUACAUUAUCUCUCUCUCGUCUAUUAUUGAGCACUCAAACAUCUUUAAGGCCUUAUUUAUUUACAUGAAAUGUGAAGUUUUUUUUGUUGCUGAGUUUUAUGAAGUGCGUACAAGAUACACACAGCC
ensembl:lncRNA